GCCAGUAUGGCAUAGUGGUUUGAGCGUUGGACUAUAACUCAGGAGACCAGGGUUCAAUUCCCAACCCAGCCA